UGUUUGUAAUCUGUAAUCAGUGGGCACAAGCUAUGGAUACAAUAUCUGAAAAGGAAGUAAUUGAUGCCAUGCGCAUUUUUGCUUCGAGUGUGCUUAAGCUUUGGGAACAGGAUAAAUUAGAAAUGCGCCAGAGAAUGAUGAUGAAUAAGGAUUUGGAGAGAAAAGUUAGAAAUUUAGAUAGAGAGGAUCAAAAGAUACACAAGGAGAUUCAGGCAUUAGACAAGAAAAUUGUUCUUGUUGCAGGGGACAGUUAUAAUCUAUCUGUGGCUGGAAACAUUGUGUAUCAGAGUGAUACUAGCAAUAGCAGUUUACAGGGGAGCCUGCAACGCAUUUUUGAGGCCAUGGAGAAAUUCAUGGCUGAUUCAACUAAAGCUUAUGAGGAGCUAAUUCAGCGUGGUGAAGAAGAGAGGCUUGCUCGAGAGCAUGAGAGAGUUUCAUAGGGCUGUAUGGUGCAAUUGAAUGCAUCGUUUCUUUUGAACUGCUAAUUGUCAGGUGCAACAUAAAGUCCCAUGAGAAAUGUAUGGAGUGCAGGAUCUGCCAGAAUUUAUGAUGUCGAAUUAAACUGCUCCAGUUAUCCCUUUUGUGGUCUUGUAGUGGAGCACUCCUGGUUUUGAAGCCUUCGAUUGAGGGUAGACUUCUUCAGGUGGUGGAUGAUGGUGUAUCUUGGUUUCAGUGGAAAGCCAUAUUACUGGCUAAAAUUUUGUUGGCAGAUAUAAUUGUGAGGGCGAUGAGAUGAUUUCAUCUCUUUUAGACCAGACGUGGCUUUUACCAUAUUGAUCCAACAAUUAUGAUUGGAUGAUGAUAUGGAAUUGAUAAAAGGAGGCAAUGGUCAUAUGAUAAUGCCAAUUCAAAACCAAAUUCUGUCACUUCUGUAUGUUCUGCAAAACAGAUGCUGGCCAGCUCUUAGGAUUGCAUUUGAGUACGGCGAUGUUGAUAAUAUGUGGUGCUUGUUGAUGCCCUAUUGCCAUUAAUUUGCUAUCAAGCACUAGGCUUCAAGGAAGUAAGACAGAAAUAAGCUUGACAGAUCCAAGUAAAGCAGAUAUUUCCCCGCAAUUUUGAUGAGGAUGUGUUCGGUUGUAGGUGCAAGGGCUGUGUAGGUUGACGCAAGUCAGAGAAUUGCCCAGAUAGCAGAUGUUCCUUUUUUUCUCCCAAAAUAUUUAUUUAUAUUAAUUCUUGUACAGGCCUUUUUCACUGAGAAGACUUCCAAUAAA
rnacentral:misc_RNA from 1 species